UUCUGUGUGUAUUGGUGAGUUGAAGAUGGAGAAGGUUCUUUUAUGUGUGCGAUUCUUUUGAGCAGAGCCUGAUUGGAGAAAUCGGUUGGUAGAAUUUGUGAUGAAUCGAUGGAUAGGGAUCAAGAUGAAGUUGAGAUGAAUUUGUUAUGGAGGUUCUGUAGGAUAGAGAAGAAGAAUGAACGAUUGUAUGGUGAAUCGUGGAGAAUUGAAGAUUGAAGGGAGAGGGAGAAAAGAUUGAAGAGUUUGUUACAGGUUAAUUGUGGAAGAUGAAUAAGUGUGGAGUGUGAAUAACUGAGAGUAAAAAUGGGUGAGUUCAAAGGAUGGUGCAGUGAAGAUGAAGUUUGAAGAGUGAAAAUGGUGGAUGAAGUGUGUGUGUGAAUCGUGGAGUUGAUGAUGAGUGAAUGGAAGAAUUAUAGGUUGAAGAAAGGAGCAAGAUGAAUGUUGAAGUCUGAAGGUGGAGGAAAGUGGCGUGUGAAGUAUGAACAAUGGUGGGAGAUUCUAUUAUAUAGUAUCAGGGAGAAUCAGAAUUGAUUGAAAGGUUUGAUUUAUGGAUGUGGCAGGGACAGGUUUAUGUUUAAAGCAACUUGGUGAAUGCAAAGAGACUUGGCAUGGUUGGAUGAGCAAAAUGAAUCAAGGCUAAGGGUAGGAGCAAGUCACCC